UUGUGGCCAUUCAGUGUGCCAAAGCGUGUGGUCAGAGACCCCAAUGGCAUCAGCGCCUGGGUGGCCUGGCGUGUUCACUGCCAGGGCCAGGACCUGAGCUCCUAUGUUGCUGGCUGUGGUGUUUGAUCAGUGCCUUGUUGCUUUGAUGAUGUUCUCCAAUUCAUUAAACCCAACAAAGAAUUCUUUGUGUUAAUCACUA